GAUUGAGCGCUGGCGGCAGGCCUAACACAUGCAAGUCGAGCGGUAGAGAGGUGCUUGCACCUCUUGAGAGCGGCGGACGGGUGAGUAAUGCCUAGGAAUCUGCCUAGUGGUGGGGGAUAACGUUCGGAAACGGACGCUAAUACCGCAUACGUCCUACGGGAGAAAGCGGGGGACCUUCGGGCCUCGCGCCAUUAGAUGAGCCUAGGUCGGAUUAGCUAGUUGGUGAGGUAAUGGCUCACCAAGGCGACGAUCCGUAACUGGUCUGAGAGGAUGAUCAGUCACACUGGAACUGAGACACGGUCCAGACUCCUACGGGAGGCAGCAGUGGGGGAAUA
rnacentral:rRNA from 1 species